UACGAAGGGGGCUAGCGUUGCUCGGAAUCACUGGGCGUAAAGCGCACGUAGGCGGAUCUUUAAGUCAGGGGUGAAAUCCCAAGGCUCAACCUUGGAACUGCCUUUGAUACUGGGGAUCUCGAGUCCGGAAGAGGUGAGUGGAACUGCGAGUGUAGAGGUGAAAUUCGUAGAUAUUCGCAAGAACACCAGUGGCGAAGGCGGCUCACUGGUCCGGUACCGACGCUGAGGUGCGAAAGCGUGGGGAGCAAACAGG
rnacentral:rRNA from 1 species